AUUGAACGCUGGCGGCAUGCCUUACACAUGCAAGUCGAACGGCAGCACGGAGCUUGCUCCUGGUGGCGAGUGGCGAACGGGUGAGUAAUACAUCGGAACGUACCCUGAAGUGGGGGGAUAACGUAGCGAAAGUUACGCUAAUACCGCAUAUCCUGUGAGCAGGAAAGAGGGGGAUCGCAAGACCUCUUGCUUUAGGAGCGGCGAUGCGGAUUAGCUAGUUGGUGAGGUAAAGGCUCACCAAGGCGACGAUCCGUAGCGGGUCUGAGAGGAUGAUCCGCCACACUGGGACUGAGACACGGCCCAGACUCCUACGGAGGCAGCAGUGGGGAAUUUUGGACAAUGGGCGCAAGGCCUGAUCCAGCCAU
rnacentral:rRNA from 1 species